UUGAAAUGGGAUACCUAAAUUUCCCAUAGCGAACUGCUCAGUAACACAUGAUCAACUUAACCUAUGGAGAAAAAUAACCUCGGGAAACUGAGGAUAAUGUUUCAUAGUUGAAUAGGCUUGGAAAAGUUUUUCAAUUAAAGGGAUAAGAUAAAUGGUUCUUAUUUGCCAUAGGAUAGGAUCGUGUUCGAUUAUGGUUGUUGGUGAGGUAAAGGCUCACCAAGCCGAUAAUCGAUAGGGGCCGUGAGAGCGGGAGCCCCGAGAUGGGUACUUAGACAGCGACCCAGACCUUACGAGGUGCAGCAGGCGCGGAACCUCCGCAAUACACGAAAGUGUGACGGGGUUACCCAAAGUGUCCUUAUUGGACUGUGGUAGGUGAGUAAUGUCCCCUAC
rnacentral:rRNA from 1 species